rnacentral:rRNA from 1 species
UACGUAGGGUGCGAGCGUUGUCCGGAAUUAUUGGGCGUAAAGAGCUCGUAGGCGGUCUGUUACGUCCGCUGUGAAAACCCAGGGCUUAACCCUGGGCUUGCAGUGGAUACGGGUAGACUAGAGGCAGGUAGGGGAGAAUGGAAUUCCCGGUGUAGCGGUGAAAUGCGCAGAUAUCAGGAGGAACACCGGUGGCGAAGGCGGGUCUCUGGGCCGAUACUGACGCUGAGGAGCGAAAGCGUGGGGAGCGAACAGG